GACAAAUAUUUCCAAAUUUUUUAAAAUGUCAGAAUUAUCGAUUUUUGAACUGGAAGGUGCAAAUCCAAAAAAAUUUAAAACCAUAAAUAUUUCGUAAACGGCUAAAUUUAGCUUUCCAUUUAGAAUGAGGAAGUUGAUAGCGACUUCCGAUAUAACCCGAAGUGCCGACAUCUUGAAAAUAUUUUCAUUAAGCAGGACCUAAAGGAUUAUGGUUGUACAGAAAUUUUCAGAUGACAAUCAUUAUUAGAACUCCCAAUACUUCUAAUGUGGGAUUUAGACGGAACAGCCUGUAUAUAUUGUGCGCAAUCUUGAUUAAAUUAGUUUAAAAAUUAA